rnacentral:rRNA from 1 species
GACGAACGCUGGCGGCGUGCUUAACACAUGCAAGUCGAACGGAAAGGCCCUGCUUUUGUGGGGUGCUCGAGUGGCGAACGGGUGAGUAACACGUGAGUAACCUGCCCUUGACUUUGGGAUAACUUCAGGAAACUGGGGCUAAUACCGGAUAGGAGCUCCUGCUGCAUGGUGGGGGUUGGAAGGUUUCGGCGGUUGGGGAUGAACUCGCGGCUUAUCAGCUUGUUGGUGGGGUAGUGGCUUACCAAGGCUUUGACGGGUAGCCGGCCUGAGAGGGUGAACGGCCACAUUAGGACUGAGAUACGGCCCAGACUCCUACGGGGGGCAGCAGUGGGGAAUAUUGCACAAUGGGCGGAAGCCUGAUGCAGCAACGCCGCGUGCGGGAUGACGGCCUUCGGGUUGUAAACCGCUUUCGCCUGUGACGAAGCGUGAGUGACGGUAAUGGGUAAAGAAGCACCGGCUAACUACGUG